AUUGAACGCUGGCGGCAGGCCUAACACAUGCAAGUCGAACGAGUGGCGGACGGGUGAGUAAUGUCUGGGACACUGCCUGAUGGAGGGGGAUAACUACUGGAAACGGUAGCUAAUACCGCAUACCAUCGGAUCUGCCCAGAUGGGAUUAGCUAGUAGGUGGGGUAAAGGCUCACCUAGGCGACGAUCCCUAGCUGGUCUGAGAGGAGGACCAGCCACACUGGAACUGAGACACGGGCCAGACUCCUACGGGAGGCAGCAGUGGGGAAUAUUGGACAAUGGGCGCAAGCCUGAUGCAGCCAUGCCGCGUGUAUGAAGAAGGCCUUCGGGUUGUAAAGUACUUUCAGCGGGGAGGCGGUACCCGCAGAAGAAGCACCGGCUAACUACGUGCCAGCAGCCGCGGUAAUUC
rnacentral:rRNA from 1 species